CUUGAUGUCAUCAUAUAGGCAUUUUUUCAUGUUAGAUCAUCAUCAUCAUAAGAAAGUGCAACUCAGAACCCAGUUUCGUUCUGCCUUGAGACGGAGAGCAAGGAGAGAACACAGAAUAGAAAGAGCCAGAAGAGCUACCUAGAGGAGGCCACCAGUGGUUACGUUGUGUUGGGCCCAGGAAUAUUCCACGAUCAGUCAAGACUCUCAGUUGCUGC